rnacentral:rRNA from 1 species
AGUGAACGCUGGCGGUAGGCCUAACACAUGCAAGUCGAACGGCAGCACAGGAGAGCUUGCUCUCUGGGUGGCGAGUGGCGGACGGGUGAGGAAUACAUCGGAAUCUACUUUGUCGUGGGGGAUAACGUAGGGAAACUUACGCUAAUACCGCAUACGACCUACGGGUGAAAGCAGGGGACCUUCGGGCCUUGCGCGAUUGAAUGAGCCGAUGUCGGAUUAGCUAGUUGGCGGGGUAAAGGCCCACCAAGGAGACGAUCCGUAGCUGGUCUGAGAGGAUGAUCAGCCACACUGGAACUGAGACACGGUCCAGACUCCUACGGGAGGCAGCAGUGGGGAAUAUUGGACAAUGGGCGCAAGCCUGAUCCAGCCAUACCGCGUGGGUGAAGAAGGCCUUCGGGUUGUAAAGCCCUUUUGUUGGGAAAGAAAUCCAGCUGGCUAAUACCCGGUUGGGAUGACGGUACCCAAAGAAUAAGCACCGGCUAACUUCGUGCCAGCCGCCGCAGUAA